rnacentral:rRNA from 1 species
GAUGAACGCUAGCGGCAGGCUUAACACAUGCAAGUCGAGGGGCAGCAUGAGACGGAGAUUCGUCGAAGUCUUGAUGGCGACCGGCGCAAGGGUGCGUAACGCGUGAGCAACUUGCCCGUUUCUGGGGAAUAACCGGUGGAAACGCCGACUAAUACCCCAUAGCAUAACGAGAAGGCAUCUUUUUGUUAUUAAAGAAUUUCGGAAACGGAUAGGCUCGCGUGACAUUAGCUAGAUGGCGGGGUAACGGCCCACCAUGGCGACGAUGUCUAGGGGUUCUGAGAGGAAGGUCCCCCACACUGGAACUGAGACACGGUCCAG